CACUCCUGCGGGAGGCAGCAGUGGGGAAUUUUGGACAAUGGGCGAAAGCCUGAUCCAGCAAUGCCGCGUGAGUGAAGAAGGCCUUCGGGUUGUAAAGCUCUUUUGUCAGGGAAGAAACGGUGAGAGCUAAUAUCUUUUGCUAAUGACGGUACCUGAAGAAUAAGCACCGGCUAACUACGUGCCAGCAGCCGCGGUAAUACGUAGGGUGCAAGCGUUAAUCGGAAUUACUGGGCGUAAAGCGUGCGCAGGCGGUUUUGUAAGUCUGAUGUGAAAUCCCCGGGCUCAACCUGGGAAUUGCAUUGGAGACUGCAAGGCUAGAAUCUGGCAGAGGGGGGUAGAAUUCCACGUGUAGCAGUGAAAUGCGUAGAUAUGUGGAGGAACACCGAUGGCGAAGGCAGCCCCCUGGGUCAAGAUUGACGCUCAUGCACGAAAGCGUGGGGAGCAAACAGGAUUAGAAACCCUGGUAGUCC
rnacentral:rRNA from 1 species